rnacentral:rRNA from 1 species
UACGUAAGGUGCAAGCGUUAAUCGGAAUUACUGGUCGUAAAGGGCGCGUAGGCGGCCUGUUAAGUCGAACGUGAAAUCCCCGGGCUCAACCCGGGAACUGCGUCCGAUACUGGCAGGCUGGAGUAUGGUAGAGGAAGGUGGAAUUCCCGGUGUAGCAGUGAAAUGCGUAGAGAUCGGGAGGAACACCAGUGGCGAAGGCGGCCUUCUGGACCAAUACUGACGCUCAUGCACGAAAGCGUGGGGAGCAAACAGG